GACGAACCGUGCGAACGUUGUUCGGAAUCACUGGGCUUAAAGAGCUCGUAGGUGGUUUGUCGCGUUGUCCGUGAAAACUCACAACUCAAUUGUGGGCGUGCGGGCGAUACGGGCAGACUGGAGUACUGCAGGGGAGACUGGAAUUCCUGGUGUAGCGGUGGAAUGCGCAGAUAUCAGGAGGAACACCGGUGGCGAAGGCGGGUCUCUGGGCAGUAACUGACGCUGAGGAGCGAAAGCGUGGGGAGCGAACAGG
rnacentral:rRNA from 1 species